CCUACGGGCGGCUGCAGUGGGGAAUAUUGGACAAUGGGGGGAACCCUGAUCCAGCCAUGCCGCGUGUGAGAAGAAGGCCCUCGGGUUGUAAAGCACUUUCAGUGAGGAAGAACGCCUGGUGGUUAAUACCCAUCAGGAAAGACAUCACUCACAGAAGAAGCACCGGCUAACUCCGUGCCAGCAGCCGCGGUAAUACGGAGGGUGCGAGCGUUAAUCGGAAUUACUGGGCGUAAAGCGCGCGUAGGUGGCUUGAUAAGCCGGUUGUGAAAGCCCCGGGCUCAACCUGGGAACGGCAUCCGGAACUGUCAAGCUAGAGUGCAGGAGAGGAAGGUAGAAUUCCCGGUGUAGCGGUGAAAUGCGUAGAGAUCGGGAGGAAUACCAGUGGCGAAGGCGGCCUUCUGGACUGACACUGACACUGAGGUGCGAAAGCGUGGGUAGCAAACAGGAUUAGAUACCCUGGUAGUC
rnacentral:rRNA from 1 species